rnacentral:lncRNA from 1 species
CUAAUUUUUUGUAUUUUUAGUAGAGACGGGGUUUCAGCAUAUGAGCCAGGAUGGCCUCCAUCUCCUGACUUCAUGAUCUACCUGCCUGGGCCUCCCAAAGUGCUGGGAUUAUAGGCGUGAGCCACCUUGCCUGGCCCAAUGGAGUUUUAAACUAUUUCUAGUUUUUGGCUUUUGGGAACAAAGCUGCAAUGAACUUCUCACCUGCAAGGGAGAAUUCAAGAUGGCUGACUGGAAGCAGCUGAUGCACACGGCUCUCACAGAGAGGAGAGUGGAGAGUAAAUCCUAGCUCUUCAAGUGGAUUAUCCAGGAGGCCACGCUGAGAUUCAUCAAGGAAGCAACAGGACCCACGGAGAACAGAGAAGAGUAAAGCAGGGUCGCUGACCGCCUGGGAUGGGUGUGGAGCUGGGGAGACUCCCCACCAAGGGGAAAGGGGCCUGAGAUUGGACCCACCCACCCAGCCAAUAUCACCACAACCUGCACAGGCCCAAAGGCGGAGGCCCCCUAACCCCUUUUACAUGAAGAUGCAGUGCUAUCACAUUGGAGAAUGGUGAGCCACAAUGCCAUCUGUAUUAAUUAGGCUGAGUGAUGAAGUUCUGCCCCAAAACCACUGCCACGGAGAGUCACAAAUGAAGCAACCCCUGAGGCUCUCAACUACAUUGUGGUUCAGAAAAAGGCUACAGUGUACAUCUGAUCUAGGAGUCAUGAGCUCUGGAACAGAGAUGUGAUAGGGCAGCAGUUCAAAUUCCUGUCUAUCUAGGAUGAGGUGGUGGUGUACCUUGUAUGUCUGGUAGGUAGAAUUCAUCAGUGAAUCUGUCUGGUCCCAGGCUUUUUUUUUUUUUUUUUUUUUUUUUUGGUAGGUUUUUUAUUACUGAUUCAAUUUUAGAACUCAAUUUUGGUCUGUUAAGGGUUUCAAUUUCUUCCUAGUUCAAUCUUGGGAGGUUGCAAGUGUCAAGAAAUUUAUCCAUUUCCUCUAGAUUUUGUAGUUUGUGUGCACAGCAAAGAGUUGGUACCAAUUCUACUGAAACUCUUCCAAAAAGCUGAGGAAGAGGAACUUCUCUCUAACUUAUUCUACAAAGCCAUUUAUCACCCUGAUACUAAAAUCUGGCAAAGAUACAACAAAAAAGAAAACUAUAGGCCAAUUUUAUUUAUUUAUUUUUUUGAGAUGGAGUCUCACUUUGUUGCCCAGGCACGAUCUCGGCUCACUGCAACCUCCGCCUCCCAGUUUCAAGCAAUUCUCCUGUCUCAGCUUCCCGAGUAGCUGGGACUACAGGUGCCUACCACUAGCCCCAGCUAAUUUUUAUGUUUUUAGUAGAGACAGGGUUUCACCAUAUUGGUCAGGCUGGUCUCGAACUCCUGACCUCAGGUGAUCUGCAGCCUCCCAAAGUGCUGGAAUUACAGGCAUGUGCCACCACGCCAAGCCAGGCCAAUAUUUUUGAUGAACAUAGAUGCAAAAAUCCUCGAAAAAUACUAGCAAAUUGAAUUCAGCAGCAUAUCAAAAAGUUAAUUCACUAUGAUCAAGUAGGCUUUAUUCCUGGGAUGCAAGGUUGGUUCAACAUACCUAAGUCAAUAAAUGUGAUUCACCACAUAAACAGAACUAAAAACAAAAACCAUAUGAUUAUCUCAAUAGAUAACAGAAGAAGUUUUCAAUAAAAUCCAACAUCCCUUCAUAAUAAAAACCCUCAACAAACUCAGCAUAUAAGGAACAUACCUGAAAAUAAUAAAAGCCAUCUAUGACAAACCCACAGCCAACAUCAUUCUGAAUAGGAAAAAGCUGGAAUCAUUCCCCUUAAGACCUGAAACAAGACAAGGACGCCCACUUUCACCACUCCUAUUCAACAUUGUUCUAGAAGUUCUAGCCAGGGCAAUCAGGCAAGAGAAAGAAAGAAAAGGCAUCCAAAAUUAGAAAAGAAGAGGUCAAAUUAUCUCUUUUCACUGAUGAUAUGAUUCUAUACCUAGAAAACCCUAAAGACUUCACCAAAAGCCUAAAACUGAUAAAUGCCAUCAGUAAAGUUCAGGAUACAAAAUCAAUGUGCAAAAUCAAUAGCAUUUCUAUACAGCAAUAAUGUUCAAGCUGAGUGCCAAAUCAAGAACACAAUCUCAUUUACAGUAGCCACAAAAAUAAAAUAAACUACUUGGGAAUACAUUGAACCAAGGAGAUGAAAGAUUUCUACAAGGGAAAUUACAAAACACUGCUGAAAGAAAUCAUAGAUGACACAAACAAAUGGAAAAACAUUCCAUGCUCGUGGAUUAGAAGAAUCAAUAUUGUUAAAAUGGUCAUAUUGCCCAAAGCAAUCUACAGAUUCAAUGCUAUUCCUAUCAGACUACAAAUGACAUUUUUCACAGAAUUAGAAAAACAAUUUUAAAAUUCAUAUGAAACUAAAAAAGAGCCUAAAUAGUGAAAGCAAUCUUAAGCAAAUGGAAGAAAGCUGGAGGUAUCAGAUUACUGGAUUUCAAACUAUACCAUAAGGCUACAGUAACAAAAACAGCAUGGUACUUGUACAAAAACAGACACAUAGAUCAAUGGAACAGAAUAGAGAACCCAGAAAUAAAACCACACACCUACAACCAUUUAAUCUUUGACAAUAUUGACAAAACUAAACAAUGAGGAAAGGACUCCUGGUUCAAUAAAUGAUGCUGGGAUAACUGGCUUAGUCAUAUGCAGAAGAAUGAAAGUAGACCCCUACCUUUCACCAUACACAAAAAUUAAUUCAGGAUGAUGAAUCAACGUUUUAAAUGUUAAGACCUCAAACUAUAAAAAUCCUGGAAGAAAACAUAAGAAAUGCCAUUCUGGACAUCUGCUUUGGCAAAGAAUUUAUGACUAAGACCUUAAAAGCAAUCACGCUGAAAACAAAAAUUGACAAGUCAGACCUAAUUAAACUAAAAAGCUUCUGCACAGCAAAAGAAACUAUCACAGAAUAAAAAGACACCCUACAGAAUAGGAGAAAAUAUUCACAAACUAUUCAUCCAACAAAGGGCUAACAUCCAGAAUCUAUAAGGAACUUAAACAAAUCAACAAAUAAAAACCAUCCCAUUAAAAAGUGGGCAAAUGACAUGAGCAGACACUUCUCAAAAGAAGACACACAAGCAGCCAACAAACAUGAAAUAAUGCUCAAUGUCACUAAUCAUCAGAUAAAUGCAAAUUGAAACUUCAGUGAAAUACCAUCUUACACCUCUCAGAAUGUCUAUUAUUAAAAAAUCAAAAAAGAGUAGAUGCCGGUGAGGCUGUGGAGAAAAGGAAUGCUUAUACUCUGUUGGAAAGGUAAUUAGUUCAGUCACUGUGGAGAACCGUUUGGAAAUAUCUCAGAUAACUUAAUACAGAACUAAUCAUUCAAUCCAGCAAUCCCAUUACUGGGUUUAAACCCAAAGGAAAAUAAAUCAUUCUACCAAAUACACACAUGUACACAUAUGUUCAUCGCAGGACUAUUCACAAUAUCAAAGACAUGAAAUCAACCUCGGUGCCCAUCCAUGGUGGAUUGGACAAAGAAAAUGUGGUGCAUAUACAUCAUGGAAUACUAUGCAGCCCUAAAAAAUGAAAUCAUGUUCUUUGCAGCAACAUGUAUGUAGCUGGAAGCCAUUCUCCUAAGUGAACUAACGUGGGAACAGACAACCAAAUACUGCAUAUUCUCAUCUAUAAGUGGGAACUAAACCUUGUGUACACGUGGACACAAAGAUGGGAAUAAUAGACACUGGGGACUACAAAAGUGGGGAGGAAGGGAGGAGAACAAGGACUGAAAAACUACCUGUUAGGUACUAUGCUCACUACCUGGGUGAUAGGAUCAGUCAUACCUCAAACCUCAGCAUCAUGCAACAUGUAAUAAACCUGCACAUGCUCUGAAUCUAAAAUAAAAGUUGAAAUUAAACAAAACAAAAGAAAAAAAUUGUUAAUAGAGUGUCUCUGUCUUAAGUUGAAAUGGGAAGACCAGUUUAAAUCUCUGAUGAUAAAGAAAAUGGGAAGACACAAAGCAAGUUAUGAAGCAGAAAAAAAGAAUCCCAUUUUUACUUUAAAUACAAAAAGAACAGCAAAGUCAUAACUCAAUAUUUUGCUUUGUCUUUUUCUAACCAUAAAUAUAAGCUAAGUCUACUUUAAUCUUCACCACACCCCCUACACUGUCAUCUCUCAUUCCCUUCUCCCUUCCCCAGAGUAAUCACUAAGAUGAGUUCGUUUAUAUUCUUCCAAUCCAUUUUUAUGUAUAAGUAAUAGGUAGUAAUAUUUUAUAUUUUUAAAAGUAAUAUCAUGUGCACGUAUUUUCUAUCUUGCAUUUUCCCUUCAACAUCAAAUUUUGGAUCCAUGUUAAUAUAAGUGGAUUUAGCUUUGUUUCAACUGCUUCAUUGCGUUUCCUGAUGACUAUUCCACAUUUCAUUAAUGUGAUCCCCUAUUGAUGGCAUUUAGGUAGUUUACAAUUUUUAUGCUGUCAUUAAAACAACAGUAUAAUGAGCUUCUGUUGUUUUCAAUGCUGUUUGAGACUUACGUUUUAGGGAAGCUAAGAUAAUACAUAUAUUUUAAAAAGUAUCUUCUCACCCCUUGUUUUUUUCUUAUAAGACUUUUGCUUAACAGUGACAUGGUCUUUUACCUAAAAACUGAAAAUAGUUUUUUAAAUGAUCAAACAAAAGAGACAGUUUAGAUAAAAAGGCUUUUUUUUUUUCAAACUCCAUUCCUUUUGAUUCUAUGAAGUCAUGAAGACAGAAAGGAAUUAUCAGUGUUACUAAUUAAUUGUGGACCCUCAGCUUUUAAAGUGCAUCAUUGUGUAUUUGCUCUUAUAGUACCUUCUUGGGUUUAUAUAAAAAAGUAGCUGCAUGAAGCUCUUUGCCUCAUUUGGACUUUGUUUAUCUAUACUUUUUGCUUAUGCUCAAUCCCAGUUUAUUACUCCCUGACGAUUUCCCUGGCAGUACAGAAAUCGAUGUUGGAGCACAGUAUCUAAAAUGUGACAAUUAUCCUUAGUGACUGUCUGGUAUUGUCCUUAACAAGAGUAUUUAGUCAAUCCACUCGAUGGCAUGCUUUGUACAGAAACAUGAGUUGAUGCAGAGAUACAAUUCCAAUAGGGAUGAAAAUGAGUCAUAGUAGUCAAUUAGCUUUUGGUGAUGAUGAGUCACAGGAAUCAAAACAUUUUGCAAAGCGUUUGGCAGACGACCAAAUGCUCUAGCUUGAGCUACCGAGAUGUGACAUUUUAGAAAAUGGGAAGAAAAUCGUCAUAUCUUAGUAUCUCUUCAUGGAAGAUGUUUGUCAGUUGCCUAGAGGAAUAUUUUCAUUCUUGCACAUACUGCUCCCUAGACUUGGAACACCCACUCUAAUGCCACCACCUCUGAUUGGCAAAUUCCUGUUACUCAGGACCCAUCUCAGACCGGAAGCAUUUCCUGAGGCACAAUUACUCACUCCCAUCACUGAGCCCAUAGCUGCUGGUUUCUCAUGUUAUUAAACCAUCUAUCAAGUGAUAUUGCAAUUUACCUGUUCCUGUGUUGAUCUUUUCUCCCAUUCUCUGGAAUAAAAACCCUGUCUUAGUUGUCCCUAUGUACUUAGUAAAUGACAUAUAACAGGGCUCAAUUCAUUUUUGUUUCUUUGUUAAGUGGAUGUGUUUCUAUUUAUGUGGGCAUUAUGAAAUACUAACAAUUAUAAGAACAGUAAUAGUUAACAUUUACUGAGUGCUUCUUACAUACUAGGCACUGUCUGGAGUGCCUUCAGUGUAUUAACUCAUUUAACUCUCCCAACAUUAUACAGGAGGUAAGUACUACAAUCCUCUUCAGAGAUAAGAAAACUGAAGCACAGAGAGUUAAAGUAACUUGUCCUAAGUCACACAGCUACUUGGUGGUGGAGUUAGGAAUUGUACUCAAGCAGUCUGACAUCUGAAGCUACAUACUUAAGCAAUGUGCUAUAUGGCAUCUAUUUUUUUCCUUAAGAAAAGAAUCUAAAGACAAUUUUAAUGGACAGGAUAAAUAAUUUUACAUAGAAAAAUAAAAAUUGCCAUCACCAAAAGACAGUGUCUCAGGAUUAACCUGAAAGCUAUUUUUGAAUGAGGCAGAGCUAUACCUUUUUGCCUGAAGAGAAGUCUAUGAUGUAUAGUUAAGAAAACCAAAUUGUAAAGUAAUUUUGUAGUGAUUCCUUGUGAAUAAGAAGAAAAUAGUAGAAGGCUUAUACAGCUUACACUUCUUCCUUUCACAUCUUUCUCCUUGCUUACAAAACAUAUACCUGUUGAUCAGGCUGUAAAUAUCAGUUAUGGUAUGGAAGUUCACUACAGUGGGAGGUGUUAUUAUUAUUAUUUUUUCUUGCAUUAUUUCAUUGGUUUCAGUGGCAACAUCACUCUGAAUAUUUGAAGAGGAAUUUAAUAAAGAAAAAUUUAUUGGCGACUAAUAAACUGAAAUUCCAGGGAGAAAUCCCAGAGAAGAUGACUCUCCAAGUCACGCCUGGAGCAAGCAGGCAAAGUCAGCUUCGUUCAAAGCAGUUUCCUUGACACCCUCAUACAAGAAGCAGUAGUUUCAUUCUUAACAGGAAGCACUGUAGGAAACGAGGAAGUUGCAGUGAAACCAGAGGACUAGGCCUAGUGGUGUAUUACAUAGUCACGGAUUCUUCUCCCCAGGCUCGCUUCGCCCCAUUGCCCCUCAGGCCUGGGCGACUUGCUCGCUGCCCCCACCUGCCAUCUCAGCCUGUCCUGGGUGAAGACCUCCUCAGUCAUCCGCAUCUGAUGGAGCAUCUCACAAAGGCUUUGGCUCCUGCCGCCAUGUCUGGGUUCAGAGGAAGGACUUGCCGCGGGACAGGCGAUCUGGCUUCCCCUGCAGCGGCCCCAAGGGACUGGGGACACAAUCUGGAAGCACCAGGGAGGUCAUGCUCUGUGCCGCAGGCUUGACAGGAAAUGGAAAAGAGCCAGAGCAUCAACCUCUCUCUCAUCCUCCCUCGAACACGUCUUCUGAGGCCCACUGCUUCCACAUAGCCUUUGCAGAGAUGUCCGUUGACCAGGCAGCAGACUAGGUCUUCUCGUGAAGCUACAGCUGCUCUGUAAUGCACUGCCUUGUCUUUGCUUUCUCUCCUUCGCUGCUCCCUUCCCAUUUUGCUCUCAGUCUUGCUGUCCUGGGAGCCAAGAGUCAGCAGUAGCAGGUUAACUUUCAUUAGGCUUCGUCUUCUAGGGGCCCAGGGUUAAGGCAUAGUGAGAUAUCCAGGUUUUAGAAACGUUAAUAUCUGAUGUUAUAAAUAGACUUUAGGUUGAAAAUUGGGAAGCACUGUUUGAAGUUCAAGCACAUGACUGAUAGGCUUUGGGAAGGAUACUAUGCUCCCUAUCUGGGUGAUGGGAUCUGUACCCCAAACCUCAGCAUCAUGCAGUAUGCCCAUGUAACAAACCUGCACAUGUACCCCUGUAUCUAAAAUAAAAGUUGAAAUUUAAAAAUUUUUCUUUGUUUGAUACAAGAAAAUGUAGGCUAGACAUAAUUAUUCUGGAAAAUAAAUUUUAUUUAAAUUACAUAGAAAAGAAUUAACUUAGGAUUUUUUGCAGAGCAGGAUGUUGUGAAUGUUUAAAUACCUUGUUUUUAAAAAUUGUAUUGUGUGUCUUCACUAAUAGUGUUAUAUCUUUUGAAUUAACAAUCUGUUAUGUCCAAGUAAAAAAUGGUAGCUUUAUCGAACAAAUAUUUUGUAUUUUGACCACUAUAUAGUUAAAAUAAAAUAAAUCCAAAUAAAAGUAACAUAUGCUUAUUUAGAAGUUUGAUAAAUAAAUGAAUGUAUGAAAUAAAUAAAUGAAUGUAUGAAAAUUAACAACCACCUAUAAUCUUAUCAUCCAAAUACAGCCACGUUAACAUUUUGGUAGAUGUUUGCCCAUGUUUUCUAUGAAUAGAAUGGAUAUAUUUUACAUAUCUACAGAUUUACUUAUAUAUUUUACAUUAAUGGAUAUAAUAGGGUAAUAUAUGU